rnacentral:rRNA from 1 species
CCUACGGGGGGCAGCAGUGAGGAAUAUUGGUCAAUGGCCGAGAGGCUGAACCAGCCAAGUCGCGUGAGGGAAGACGGCCCUACGGGUUGUAAACCUCGUUUGUCGGGGAGCAAAGCGAACCACGUGUGGAUCAUUGAGAGUACCCGAAGAAAAAGCAUCGGCUAACUCCGUGCCAGCAGCCGCGGUAAUGCGGAGGAUGCGAGCGUUAUCCGGAUGUAGUGGGUUUAAAGGGUGCGCAGGCGGAGGGGCAAGUCAGCGGUUAAAGGGUGGGGCUCAACCCCGGUCCGCUGUGGAAACUGCAUAACGUGAGGGCGAGAGGGGAGAGUGGAAUUCCAUGUGUAGCGGUGAAAUGAGUAGAU